AUCUCCUUUUGGAUCUCCUGUUUGAAUCAUAAAUCCUUUUAUCACACGGUGGAAAAGAUGGUUGUUAUAGUAACCAUUUUUGGCAUGGGUGGUAAAGUUUUCAACUGCUAGAGGAGCGAAUUCUGGGAAGAGUUUGAUGGUGAUGUCUCUAUAUUUUGCAAAAUAAAAUUAAAAUAAAAUUAAAAUAAAAUUAAAAUAAAAUUAAAAUAAAAUUAAAAUAAAAUUAAAAUAAAUUAAAAAUAAAAAUAAAAUUAAAAUUAAAAUUAAAUUAAAUUAAAAUUAAAUUAAAAUUAAAAUUUAAAAUUAAAAAAAGAAAAGAAAAAAAAACCCCAAUAAGUUAGUAAUAGUACAAACAGACAAGAGAACCGAGAGCACUUGAUUUUGUGGUGAUUGCCACAGUUUGUUCUUC
rnacentral:rRNA from 1 species